AUUGAACGCUGGCGGCAUGCUUUACACAUGCAAGUCGAACGGCAGCGCGGGCUUCGGCCUGGCGGCGAGUGGCGAACGGGUGAGUAAUGCAUCGGAACGUGCCCAGUAGUGGGGGAUAGCCCGGCGAAAGCCGGAUUAAUACCGCAUACGACCUGAGGGUGAAAGCGGGGGACCGAAAGGCCUCGCGCCAUUGGAGCGGCCGAUGUCGGAUUAGCUAGUUGGUGGGGUAAAGGCUUACCAAGGCGACGAUCCGUAGCUGGUCUGAGAGGACGACCAGCCACACUGGGACUGAGACACGGCCCAGACUCCUACGGGAGGCAGCAGUGGGGAAUUUUGGACAAUGGGGGCAAGCCUGAUCCAGCCAUGCCGCGUGCGGGAAGAAGGCCUUCGGGUUGUAAACCGCUUUUGUUCGGGAAGAAAUCCUCUGGGCUAAUACCCCGGGGGGAUGACGGUACCGGAAGAAUAAGCACCGGCUAACUACGUG
rnacentral:rRNA from 1 species